rnacentral:rRNA from 1 species
GUGGGGAAUAUUGGGCAAUGGGGGAAACCCUGACCCAGCGACGCCGCGUGGGUGAAGAAAUCCCUCGGGAUGUAAAGCCCUGUUGUAUGGGAAGAGCAGAAGACGGUACCAUACGAGGAAGCCCCGGCAAACUACGUGCCAGCAGCCGCGGUAAUACGUAGGGGGCAAGCGUUGUCCGGAAUUACUGGGCGUAAAGCGCACGCAGGCUGAAUUAUAAGUCGGUAGUCAAAUACGGAGGCUCAACUUCCGGAUAUCUAUCGAUACUGUAAAUCUAGAGUAUGUGAGAGGGAAGCGGAAUUCCCGGUGGAGCGGUGAAAUGCGUAGAUAUCGGGAGGAACACCAGUGGCGAAGGCGGCUUCCUGGCACAAUACUGACGCUCAUGUGCGAAAGCUAGGGCAGCGAACGGGAUUAGAAACCCUGGUAGUCC